rnacentral:lncRNA from 1 species
GGUAAAGAUGGGAAUAUACAUAUAAGGCAUAAAUGAUCCACUCCCUUGGGCGAUGUGGGAUGUUACACAUUUAAUCAUUAUUAAUUCUGCUAAUCAAGACCUUGAUAAUGAUUAAAAUUAAAUGCAUGCUGCAAUUGGGUAUUAGCGCCUUUUAUCUUAGUCGUUUUAACUAAACCUUUGCACUAACCCAUGAUUUCCAACGUUAACUACGUGCCCAUUAUAUAACUUCCACUUUACUUUUUUUG